GGCGGACCGUAUCUAGUCAUCAGUGUAAAACCACCACAAAAGAACAGGGUUGCUUCAGAGACAGCUGUUGCUGUUUUCCUAUGAGAGAAGAAGACAGGACUGCUUGUGCAAUGUCCAUCAUCUUGGGUUACAAGGUCACAAAGAUGGAGAGUCAGAAUCAUACAUUUAUGAGCAACCUUAGUUGCUCAUAUGACUGCUGCUCUCUUCCUGUCUGCAGGCUCUGAUCUUACUCAGGGUAGAUUUAUCAAGUUGGUAUCAGGAGAAAAAAAAAAGAUGUGGUGCUUUUACCCAGCUGGG